UUAAAUGUCUAAUGGUGUAAAACAUUGAAAGUUUAUAUUAAUGGCUACAAUUGGAAGACAUUGAAAAUGGUGGAAGACGUUGGAAAUAGGCUGGGUAGUGUUUAUGGGUACAUCCAACGUCUCCCAUUGGGAGACGUGGGACACGUGGCACGUCUCCCAGUGGGAGACGUUGGAUGUGCUCCCUUCAUAUAUGACCAAAAAUGCUUGUCUUCCUCACAUAUCAUCACCAACCCGAGAGCAUGCAAACCAGAGGAGAGAAUUGGGGCUGCGUUUUUUUAGGGUUCUAAGGUUGUGAUUUUUGUGGUGAGAUUUUAGAGAGUAUUUUGCAUCAAAAUUCCAAUAUCAAUCACACAUUUGAGCGAAUUUGAUUACUAAGUGAAGUAACUUUGCUAGCUUUUGGAUUAAAGAUUGCAAGAGGUACAUAUAUAUUCUCUUACUUCUACUUUUAAUAUUAUUAAACAAAUGUUAGAGGAGUUUGAAUAUCUUAAAUAUUCAUCCAUAGUGAAGUAGGUUCUGAGAUUAAAAUUGUGUGCUGCGGUGAUAACGGAAGGUUGAGAACUUGUGUGUAUUAGUGAAGUAGGUUCUGAUAAAUUUGACUGUGUGCUGCGGAGCUAUAAGGAAGAAACUUAUUGUAUGUUGUUUGAAUUGUUUGUUUUGCUAUUCACAUGCAGAUGGUUAGGUCACUAUUAUAGGGGAAAUGCUGCCCGAUUUUAUCUAGGAUAAUAAACAAUUAGUUUUAUAUAGACAUUCUAUAAGGAAGAAACUUAUUGUAUGUUGUUUGAAUUGUUUGUUUUGAUAUUCACAUGCAGAUGGUUAGGUCACUAUUAUA